rnacentral:tRNA from 1 species
CCCCUUGUGGCUCAGAUGGUAGAGAGUCUGCCUGUAGUGCAGAACACCCAGGUUUGAUCCCUGGGUUGGGAA